rnacentral:rRNA from 1 species
AGCGAACGCUGGCGGCAGGCCUAACACAUGCAAGUCGAACGAUCCUUCGGGAUAGUGGCGGACGGGUGAGUAACACGUGGGAACGUGCCCUUUGGUUCGGAAUAACUCAGGGAAACUUGAGCUAAUACCGGAUGUGCCCUUCGGGGGAAAGAUUUAUCGCCAUUGGAGCGGCCCGCGUUGGAUUAGCUAGUUGGUGGGGUAAAGGCCCACCAAGGCUACGAUCCAUAGCUGGUCUGAGAGGAUGAUCAGCCACACUGGGACUGAGACACGGCCCAGACUCCUACGGGAGGCAGCAGUGGGGAAUCUUGCGCAAUGGGCGAAAGCCUGACGCAGCCAUGCCGCGUGAAUGAUGAAGGUCUUAGGAUUGUAAAAUUCUUUCACCGGGGACGAUAAUGGCGGUACCCGGAGAAGAAGGCCCGGCUAACUUCGUGCCAGCCGCCGCCGUAAUAC